AACGAACGCUGGCGGCGUGCUAACACAUGCAAGUCGAACGCGAAAGGGACUUCGGUCCUGAGUAAAGUGGCGCACGGGUGAGUAACGCGUAGAUAACCUGUCUUCAUGUCUGGAAUAAUACGCCGAAAGGGGUACUAAUACCGGAUAUUCUUGCUCUUCAUAAGUUAUGCAAGCAAAGGUGGCCUCUGCAUAUGCUACUGCAUGAAGAGGGGUCUGCGUACCAUUAGCUAGUAGGUGGGGUAAUGGCCUACCUAGGCGACGAUGGUUAGCGGGUCUGAGAGGAUGAUCCGCCACACUGGCACUGGAACACGGGCCAGACUCCUACGGGGGGCAGCAGUGAGGAAUAUUGCGCAAUGGGGGAAACCCUGACGCAGCGACGCCGCGUGAGUGAGGAAAGGCCUUCGGGUCGUAAAGCUCUGUCAAGAGGAAAGAAGUGUACAAUGGCUAAUACCUGUUGUAUUUGACGGUACCUCUAAAGGAAGCACCGGCUAACUCCGUGCCAGCAGCUGC
rnacentral:rRNA from 1 species